rnacentral:misc_RNA from 1 species
UCCGGUUUGUCACCGGCAGUCUCCUUAGAGUGCCCAACCUAAUGCUGGCAACUAAGGACAAGGGUUGCGCUCGUUGCGGGACUUAACCCAACAUCUCACGACACGAGCUGACGACAGCCAUGCAGCACCUGUGUCCGCGUCCCCGAAAGGAACACCGCGUCUCCGCGGCUGUCACCGACAUGUCAAGCCCAGGUAAGGUUCUUCGCGUUGCGUCGAAUUGAACCACAUGCUCCGCUGCUUGUGCGGGUCCCCGUCAAUUCCUUUGAGUUUUAGCCUUGCGGCCGUACUCCCCAGGCGGGGUACUUAAUGCGUUAGCUACGGCACGGAUCCCAAGGAAGGAAACCCACACCUAGUACCCACCGUUUACGGCGUGGACUAC